ensembl:lncRNA
UAAAUAUAUGUAUAUCUAUGUUUACAUUCACUGUGUAUAUGUGUGUGUGUGUGUGUGUGUGUGUGUGUGUGUGUGUGUGUGUGUGUGUGUGUGUAUGUGUGUAUGCAUGUGUGUGUAAGAGUGUGUGUUUGUGGUUGCGCUGCCUCAAUUUCUUUUUCUUUUCCAAGGAAUCCCAUUCUAUAUACCUCAAUCAUACUUUAAGCAGUUAGAUUCAAUAAUAAUACCCUUCAUAUGGAGCUAUAAAACAGUGCGUAUAGCAAAAAAACAUCUGUGUAAGCCAAAAAUGGAGGGAGGCUUUGGUCUUCCUCUUUUCAAACUCUAUCACUGGGCCACUCAACUGUCCAUCAUAGCUUGGUGGAAGAACAGCCCUCCAGCUGACUCAGAUGAUUGUCCAGCCUGGUUAACACUGGAACGCUCCUUAUGCAGGAGCACUUCACUCCCAGCCCUGUUGAAUAGCCCCACCAAAGUAAACAAAACAGCCUACAGUGGCAGUUCUAUCAUAGCCAGCACUCUGAAAAUAUGGAGUCAUAUCAAACGGUACAUAAAAGCACCUGGUACUUAUUUGGAUAGCCCAAUAUGCAAUAAUCAUGCCUUUACCCCUGGCAUGAGCGACUUUGUUUUUGUGAUGUGGCAAGAGAGAGGGAUAUGUGACUUAAAUUCACUAUACAUAGAGGGUAUCUUUGCUUCUUUUGCUCAGCUCCAGAGUUUGUAUUCAAUUCCAGCUUCCAAUCUGUUCAGAUACUUUCAAAUACGUGAAUUCACCAAAAAACACAUAUCCAAUUAUCCAAACAAACCCUGCCAUGAAACUCUAAAUGUAAUCAACAGAUUUGACCCCCUCUGGAAAGGGGCGGUCUCAUAUUUCUAUCAAACUUUGCUUGAGCGUACACCUAAAGAUUCCUCUGCUCACAGACAGGCAUGGGCCAGUGAGUUAAAUGAAGAGAUAGGUGAGGGGUUCUGGGAACAAUGUCUGGCAAACAUAAGUGACUGUUCAGUUAAUGUCCGACAUAACUUGAUACAGUUUAAGACACUACACCGGUUGUACUAUUGCAGGACCAAGAUACAUAAGUUUGACCCAUCGACAUCCCCACUUUGUAACAGAUGUAAGAUUUCUGAAGGAACACUUGCUCAUACUCUUUGGUCUUGUACAAAGUUGUCAUCUUACUGGUUUGAUAUUUUCCAAUGCUUCUCUAAAGCCUUUAAGAAGAAUUUGAAACCAGAUCCAUUGGUUGCGAUCUUAGGAGGGACAGGGGCUCUACUUUUGGCUAAUACAUAUGAAGCUCAAGCUGUUUCUUUAGGUAUGGUUGUGGCGAAAAAAAUGAUUCUGCUUAUGUGGAAAAGUGACUCAGCACCAAGUUAUGAAAUGUGGCUAAGAGAAAUGGGGAAUGUACUUAGCCUCGAAAAGAUCAGAUAUCACAACAAUGAUAAACUGAAAUACUAUAAUAAGAUCUGGGACCCUCUACUGUUGUACAUAAAGGGCCAUGACUGACUCCUAAUACUGUAAACCCGAUCAAUGUUUUCUUUUGGAUGUUUCUUUUUUAUUUUAUAUACUCUGUAUUGAACUACAUUAUAUUCAUGACCGUGAUGACUGUUUUGUAAAUAUGUGCUAUGUUCAGUCCAUAACAAGAAGGAAAAUAAAAAAUAUAUAUAUAAAAAAAAAAAAAAAAGAGUGUGUGUUUGUGUGUGUGUGUACGUAUACGUGUACGUGGACGUGGACGUGUAUGUGUAUGUGUAUGUGUAUGUGUGUGUGUGUGUGUGUGUGUGUGUGUGUGUGUGUGUGUAUGCAUGCA